GACGAACGCUGGCGGCGUGCUUAACACAUGCAAGUCGAACGGAAAGGCCCUGCUUUUGUGGGGUGCUCGAGUGGCGAACGGGUGAGUAACACGUGAGUAACCUGCCCUUGACUUUGGGAUAACUUCAGGAAACUGGGGCUAAUACCGGAUAGGAGCUCCUGCUGCAUGGUGGGGGUUGGAAAGUUUCGGCGGUUGGGGAUGGACUCGCGGCUUAUCAGCUUGUUGGUGGGGUAGUGGCUUACCAAGGCUUUGACGGGUAGCCGGCCUGAGAGGGUGACCGGCCACAUUGGGACUGAGAUACGGCCCAGACUCCUACGGGAGGCAGCAGUGGGGAAUAUUGCACAAUGGGCGGAAACCUGAUGCAGCAACGCCGCGUGCGGGAUGACGGCCUUCGGGUUGUAAACCGCUUUCGCCUGUGACGAAGCGUGAGUGACGGUAAUGGGUAAAGAAGCACCGGCUAACUACGUGCCAGCAGCCGCGGUGAUACGUAGGGUGCGAGCGUUGUCCGGAUUUAUUGGGCGUAAAGGGCUCGUAGGUGGUUGAUCGCGUCGGAAGUGUAAUCUUGGGGCUUAACCCUGAGCGUGCUUUCGAUACGGGUUGACUUGAGGAAGGUAGGGGAGAAUGGAAUUCCUGGUGGAGCGGUGGAAUGCGCAGAUAUCAGGAGGAACACCAGUGGCGAAGGCGGUUCUCUGGGCCUUUCCUGACGCUGAGGAGCGAAAGCGUGGGGAGCGAACAGGCUUAGAUACCCUGGUAGUCCACGCUGUAAACGGUGGGUACUAGGUGUGGGGUCCAUUCCACGGGUUCCGUGCCGUAGCUAACGCUUUAAGUACCCCGCCUGGGGAGUACGGCCGCAAGGCUAAAACUCAAAGGAAUUGACGGGGCCCCGCACAAGCGGCGGAGCAUGCGGAUUAAUUCGAUGCAACGCGUAGAACCUUACCUGGGUUUGACAUGGAUCGGGAGCGCUCAGAGAUGGGUGUGCCUCUUUUGGGGUCGGUUCACAGGUGGUGCAUGGCUGUCGUCAGCUCGUGUCGUGAGAUGUUGGGUUAAGUCCCGCAACGAGCGCAACCCUUGUUCACUGUUGCCAGCACGUUAUGGUGGGGACUCAGUGGAGACCGCCGGGGUCAACUCGGAGGAAGGUGGGGAUGACGUCAAGUCAUCAUGCCCCUUAUGUCCAGGGCUUCACGCAUGCUACAAUGGCUGGUACAGAGAGUGGCGAGCCUGUGAGGGUGAGCGAAUCUCGGAAAGCCGGUCUCAGUUCGGAUUGGGGUCUGCAACUCGACCUCAUGAAGUCGGAGUCGCUAGUAAUCGCAGAUCAGCAACGCUGCGGUGAAUACGUUCCCGGGGCU
rnacentral:rRNA from 1 species